AAAACUUUACAAUCGGGAAACCGUGAUAAGGGAAUCUCGAGUGCCAGCAUAUAAUGUUGGCUGUCCAGAUGCCUAAAAAGCAUCUGUUAGCAAGGGCCGGGCAAGACCGGUGCCAGCCGCCGCGGUAACACCGGCGGCCCGAGUGGUAACCGUUAUUAUUGGGUCUAAAGGGUCUGUAGCCGGCCAAGUAAGUCCCUUGGGAAAUCUGGCAGCUCAACUGUCAGGCUGCUAGGGGAUACUGUUUGGCUUGGGACCGGGAGAGGUGAGAGGUACCUUGGGGGUAGGGGUGAAAUCUUGUGAUCCUCGGGGGACCACCAGUGGCGAAGGCGUCUCACCAGAACGGGUCCGACGGUAAGGGACGAAAGCUAGGGGCACGAACCGGAUUAGAUACCCGGGUAGUCCUAGCCGUAAACGAUGCUCGCUAGGUGUCAGUCACGGUGCGACCGUGAYUGGUGCCGUAGGGAAGCCGUGAAGCGA
rnacentral:rRNA from 1 species